AGGGCAGGAAGAGUUGGCGCAGGUAGGCCUGGGCAGCUUUGGCCUCUGCCCUGCUCCCUGCAUGGCUCUUGGCCAUCUUUCACGUGUUACAUAAGCCCUCUAACCACACCUUCCUGAGUUCUGGAGCAGGCACCAGAGCAACACCUGCUUCCUGGAGAGGUGCGGACGACUAGAAGGAGGAACUUGGGCAGCACCCACAAUGUUAUUGAGCACCUGCAAUGAGCAAUCACUGGGUGAGUUCUGCAGACAGAGCUACAACCAGGACAGACACCGUCUCGGCCUUCAUACGACCCAUCUCAUACAGUGGGGUCUGUAGAACUGUUCCUUGGUUCCCAGAUGGUCUGAGUAAGUGGGGGAACCCGACAAGACUUCUGCAUUCUGGACAUUCCACAAUCAUCCCAUCACCCUCAGGAAUUGCCUGGACUCUUUGAACCUUCCCAGGGUGGUACCUUAGUCCAUCCCCAUGCCCAGACAGGCCCAGCUCUGGUGGACCUUCCUCGCUGCUGGCCUGCUGGGAUUCCCCUUCCUGGCUUCUCUCUUUAAGGAUAAUCUCAUUUGUUCUAACCGACACAUUCAUUCUGGAAUUCAGUAGUUACUUUGGAAUAUCACAGAAAAAGGCGUUAUUUUCUAGAAGUAAAUGUUCAAGCAUAUGUUAUGUCAUGGAUGACGUUAACUGAAGUAGAAAUGUGCAUAUGUGGAUGAUAGCACAAAUAACUCAAAGAGAACUCGGUCUCCCAGAUCACUGACUAUUUACAAAGUUGGCCCUAUUUCCACUCGGUCAUUUUUCAGACAUAUUUUACCUUGAUGCUAUGACUAUGUGAUCCCAAUUCCAAAUUCUCCUCUCUCUCUCUCUUUUUUUAAUUGGCUUGUGAUUGCAUCACAUAACUAUUUCUUCCACAUAGUCUUCAUAGUUGCCAUACGUGAAGGCAGUAGCUCAUUCCCCUAACAGACCACAAUCUCCUGAGCUGUCACCCUCCAGCCGAGAAGCUUCCAGUUAAUGACUCUAACACUGAAGGCAGCCAUGAAUGUCUUGGCGCUAACAUUUUUUUCUAUUGAAUUUUUUUUCCAGAAUAUAUUCCCCAAAGUGAGGUAAAGUAUUCUUACAAUUGUUUUUGCUUUUUUUUUUUUUUCUCUUGGGUCAAAUAUUGCCAAAUUGUUCUACAGGAAGUAAUAUUUAUAGUGCCAAGAGUCUACAUAUUUCUCCGGAAUGUAUUUUUGAAAUUUAUUAUUGACAAAUGCAAGUGGUUUUUAUUACUUGCUGGAUGCAUGGUCUAUCUGGUUCUUUGUCCAAAUCGUUCUCUUAGUCAUUUCAUAUACUGAGCUUCUUCUCAUCAAAUCAAUCCUAUAUAGUUUUCUUAUCUUAUUGGUUUUCUUUGAAUCUCUGUUAUUCUUUGCUGUGAGCACAUUUUUAAUUUUUAUAUCACCAAAAUUGUCCACCUGGACAUUGAUGAUUCCCCCCACCGUUUCAAUAAUAAGAACUGUUCUCUCUGGAAAAGGAUUUUCUUUUCCCUGACCCUAAUACAAUCCACUUUCCACCUGAAUUUGUUCCAAAUCCCUCUAGUUUUCAUGCACAUUCCACCGUCUGUGAUCCCUACAUGACGAUUCCCUUCUCCGUCCACCUCUCCACAGCCCUGGCUAAACACAUUCGCAGCCAACUCAACUACCUCAGCUCUAUCACUGCCACCAUACAUAAAAAGGACCAGUGGCCAUGGCUCACCUCUGACUGGAUCCUUCCCUUGGUUUUCGCACCUCCCUCCCAUCCCCAUUGCUGAAUUCUCAGGUUCCUAAGCUGGCCUGGCACCCACCCCAGUACCACCCUUGGCCGCCAUAUUGGCCUAUGGAAAAGGACAAAUUCCUUUACCUGUGUGUGCAGCCUAGCGAAGGCUGACGUCUCCUAAAGGGUAUGUUGCUGAAUAAUGAAGGGGAAACCAAAAAACAGACCCCGGGAAAUAUAAAGAAAGCCUAACAGAAACGUUGCCUCGUGGAGAUCUUACAACCCCACCAAGGCCUUGCCUCAGAAUGGCUCUGGUGGGGGGCGUGGAGGGCUCCCCUUCUCUGAUACCCAAACACUUUUUCCAAACAACUCUGCCAGGGAUGCUUUCCUGGGAGCCUAUUUCCUCCACAGGCUUCAAGACUAACACCUAUGGCCUCUGCUUAUGUCUGCAUCUGGGCCCACAGGAAGCCCAUACCAUACUCUUCUGAGACCGCCUUCACUUCCCAUGUCUGUCUGUGUCAGGCAAAGCAUGUCACUGUCAUUUACUUCAAGAUCUCA